AGUAAAAAAAGUUUAACUUUUAGUGAAAGGUUAGAUUACCUAUUUUUUUACAGGGAACCUAACUUUGAACCUGAUUUUGAAAAUCACUUGUGUUUUAGAUAAUCGAACCAGGUAAUAAAACAAUUCACUCUAUGGACCCUAUGGGAGAACAGACAAAUUCCAUCAAAAAAGAAGAAGUGAAAUGGAAUUGUUACUUACAACAAAGAUAUGGUGUUUCAGAAAAGUUUGAAAUAUUAACAUUACCACAUGCCAUACGAGCUGAAGUUUGCUGAAAGUUAUACAAAUGGAGAAGUAUGGGUGCGUGUCUUUCCACAUGAAGAAGUUAAUGCAUACAGAAAGAGAGAUAAAGGAGGUCAGAAAAGUUAGCAGAAUAGUUUGUGUCGCAUUUGUGGAAGUGAAAUUGGUCCAAAAACUAGAAAAAAUCAAAAAAAAAUUAAAUGAGUAAAAUGUGAUAUAUGCAUUUAAAUCGAUGGUACCGUAUGAGAUGCA